rnacentral:rRNA from 1 species
AACGAACGCUGGCGGCGCGUCUUAAACAUGCAAGUCGAACGAUCUGUAGCAAUACAGGGAGUGGCGGACGGGUGAGGAACACGUAGGAAUCUACCUCGAAGAGCGGGACAACUUUGGGAAACCGGGGCUAAUACCGCAUAGUACAGAGAUGUUAAAGGGCUAGCAAUAGUCGCUUCGAGAUGAGCCUGCGGUCUAUCAGCUUGUUGGUGAGGUAAUGGCUCACCAAGGCUACGACGGAUAGCCGGUCUGAGAGGAUGAUCGGCCACACUGGCACUGAGACACGGGCCAGACUCCUACGGGAGGCAGCAGUUAAGAAUCUUGCGCAAUGGGGGGCAACCCUGACGCAGCGACGCCGCGUGAAGGAUGAAGGCUUUCGGGUUGUAAACUUCGGUAGACUGGGAAGAAGAACUACGUUCGUUGAGGGCGUAGAGUGACGGUACCAGUCUGAAGCCCCGGCUAAUUACGUGCCAGCAGCCGCGGUAAU